UUCCUACUAAUCUUAGAAAUUAUUUUAUCUCUUUUUAGUUAAUUUACAGCAAAUAUCAGAGAAGAUCAAUAAUUUGGUGAAGGAAAACACAGAACUUGUAGAAAAUAUAUCCACUUUGGAACAGAUGGUAUCUUUGUCCUUUAUCAUUUUUCAUGAUUUCACCUUCAAUUCCUUCCACCUCUGGGAGUUCGGUUAUUUUGCUCUCUUUUCAUUCAUACUACUGUCCUAUUUCAUAUGUUCCAUAAACAGUCCAGAUUCAAAGCAAGCUCCACAGACAUAAAGCACUGUUCUCUGUAUUUGUGGAAGGAGUCACACACGAGAAGAUAGUAUUUAUAACUCUGGUUCCUUUUGUACAUAUUUGCAUAGGUGAAUGACUCAAAGAAACAUCUUCAAGAAACCACUAGACAGAAUAAGAUGCUCUUUGAUGAAGCACUUAAAUUUAAGAUAUUGGAAAAAAAAAAUCUACAGAGGACUUGAAAGGUGCCAUUUCAAUGAACACCUCAGGAAUUUUGGAGGUUGAAAUUGCCCUCAAUGAAGCUUGUGUCAAUCAUGCAGAAGUGAAACCUGAAGAACCGCAUGAACAGGAGAAUGUUCAGCUCAACAUCAGGAAGGAACAGGUAACAAGUUUUACUCCCAUAGACUGUUUAAAUCAGAGAACUGAAAAUCAUUACUUCCUUUUCAAUUUUUAAAAAACUUUUAUUCUGUAUUGGA